UCCUGCGUCAACCUGCUGCACUACCCCUUUAAUUACCUCUUCAUGGCUCCCCCAGUCCUGAUGCCGCAUGAAUCAGUGUAUCAACACUCGGCUGACUUUGUUUCAUCAAAGCUCACCGUCGCCAACACUUUUGCGAAGAUGAACAUAAACUAAGUGCUGAAGACAGCUGAUGGAGAUGCUUCAGAAGAAGAUCUACAGAGGAGUCUUCCACUGUGUUUAUAUGAGUCAUGGACACUGAUGAAGGUGACUGUUUGCAUCUGAGCUUGUAUAAAGGGUUUGAUGACGUGCCUCCUUUACAAAACCUAAUGUAUUGCUCCACCUAGUGGAUAUGAAGUGCUAUGCCAUGUAACGGGAUUCUUUGGAUUCAAAGCAAAACUCAGGUUUACUGACACUUUUAUUUUGUGACUUUAUUUAUUUGUUGUUUGUGCAACCUCUACUGAACCUUUUCAAUAACUCAUUAAUAUUAUUUGAUCUCAUUGUUUCAUACAACAACUUUUACUUUAGUGGCGUUUGAGACUAACACAUGGGGACUAUUCAUUUUGUUAUAACGUAGUUCAGAUGAAAUUGGUCACAAAGAAGUCUGUGGAUUAUUCAGAGUAACCUCUUCAGUUUCUGGUGAGACACAUCUCUUUAUAUUAAUAGGCAGACAUUUCUGGGACACAUAAUACAAAACCAGAACUAGACGUACUACAAGUCACAACAAGCAGGUUAGGUAAUAUGAUUUUGUUGGGGUCUUUUUUUAGGUGAACUGAUCCCAAGUGUUCCUUUUGUACUACAUCUGUUGUCCACUGGAUGGCAGUGAAUCACCAACAGACUCAGGUCCAUCUGUGUGUGUGUGUGAACAGGCUGAAUACUGCUAACAGGUUUAAACUGUUUUCUAACAAAACAAUGAUCCAUCUUUUUUUCCCCCAAUAACGCUAAU